AAACAAAAUUCAAUACUAUAAAAUUAACUAUACAUAAUAAAAUUAAAAACUUUUUUGCGAAAAGUAAAAUCAUAUUUCAAACUAAAUCUCUAAAAUAAAAAUAAAAAUGUUAGAGAUAUAAAUAAACUAAUCUAUAUUUUCCAUCACACCACCUCCAAUCAAAUGAUUAAUAUUCUCAUUUGGAUAAACAAAAAAAUCGGAGACAUUCAAAUGAAUCACAUCAAUUGAAUCAUCAUAGUCAACAAAAUUUGUCUCAAUUUUUCUCUUUCUCUUGAUUGAUUUUUUGUAGAGAUCUACAAGAUAUUUUGCUGUGCGAUGGGUACAUGUCCAAUGCCCAUUCGUUCCACAUUUAAAGCGACUUUCUUCUACCCACUUUUUGGAUGUGCUAUUUUCGUUUGUUUUGUGCCUCUUGAAAUAAUUGCCUUGUAGUUGAUAAUUUUGUUGGUUUAUUCCACGUGCACGUCCACAUCCACAUUCUUGUCUUGAUAUUAUCCAUGUAUAGCUUCAGGCAAUGGUACAGAACCACUUGAACGUAAUCCAUGAUUUUUCAUCAGGAGUUCAUUAUUCUCUCCAACAAAAAGUAAGCAAGAUAUAAGUUCUGAGUACGUUUUGAAUCACGCUCACAAUAUUGUUGCUGUAGGAGCACAUUUGAUGCGUGAAAUGUGGAAAAAGUUUUCUACAACAUAUCUGCAUCGGUGUUUUUCUUCUACAAAAGGUUAAUUUUGAACAGUUUAGAAUUGUACUCACUAGAAGUUUUGAAGUCUUGCAAACGAAGGUGUAUCUACUCAUAGUGGGCUUUGGAGAGAACUAUAGUCCCCUGAUGAUCAAAUCUCUGAGUUAAUUUUUUCAAAUAAACUAUAGAUCUUUUUCAGUGAGAUAUUCAAUUUUCAAUCUAUCUUACAGAUGACGGCGAACAAAGAUGCAUGCACAAUCCUACAGGAAUUACUUGUUUCCUUCUUUUAUUAUAUCUCCCAAACCUUUUGAGACAAGAUAGAUAUCAGCAUCGAGCAUCCAUGAUAGAUAGUUUUUGCUAGAUAUGUAAAGUGCAGCAAACUCAAAUUUUGUAAUGUUUGACAUUUGAUUAACUAAAUAAUAAAGAAAAUACAAUUAAUUUCGAAGAAUAUGAUUAAAUAUCACAUAAUGGUUAAUCAAAUAAUCGAUAUAAACAUGACAUAAGUUACGUGUGUUCCUUCAACGAUAAGCACUAAAAUAAUAUGUUUUUCGAAACAUGUCCUACUUUACAUAUUAUUACUUCUUACAUAUAAUAAACAUGAGCUACUUUACAAAAACAUGUGAUAUUUCAAGAGUACAUUGUAUUUUAUUAUUACUUCUUCAAGAGUAAUAUAUCAAUAUUCUUCUAGAAUGUUGAAAAUCAUAAUUUAUGCUUUUCAAAAGCACGUAAUAUUCUUCAAUGAUAUUAAUUAUGAUGUCAUGCUAUUUCAGGAGCAACAACAAAUAAUUUAUAAUAAGAGGCAAAUCCAACAUCAAUGUCCAGUUAGGACGGAGGUUGAUCGUUGACCGUCGACAAUCAACAUCGUAAUAAUCCGAUCGUUAUUAAAAUUUGAUUAAAUAAUAUUAAAAGUUAUUCAAUAUAUAUGUAAAUAAAAUUUUUCAAUUAGAAUUGAUUAAAAAAAAAGUACCGAGUACACACAUAUUGAAUUAAGUAGCUAACAUCUUUUUAAUUAAUUUUUUUCACUUAUCCUAAUUUCUUAAACAUAAAUUCUCAAACAAAUAAUCCUAACUCAUGUCUCAUAAAGCAUAAAUUACUUAUCAUAAAUCACAAUCACAAUUCUCCAUAAUAACUCACAAGUCACAAAGCAUAAAUCACAAUUCAUAACUCAUUAUUUACAAGACUAAUAAGUAAUAACAAUUAACACAAUUCACAUACAAUAAACUUCAUUAUUUAACAAAUCAAGUAGAAAUAGCCAACAAAAUAGAACAAAAAUAAUACCCAAAAGAAAAGCAGCAACAAAAUAGAACAAAAAUCACUCACCAGUCCCCAAGCGAAGCUGAAUUCUCUUCACCCUGCUGUCUGUAGUCUGCUUACCAGAACGAAAAGUUCAAACCUCGGAACGACAGUCGGACUCGACAGAAGUAGAACCAGGCUUUAAGUUUCUGGUCUUGGCUAAUGACUGGCAGCGCAGUUGAACGGAAUUAGAAAGGGAGAAGGAAAAGGGUUUGCACUUUGCGGCUUCUGGAGUUGGGAUUUGAGAAUGAGAAAUUAAGAGUCAAUUUGGUGGAGUAAUUGGAGUUUGCUGUUUGGAAUUGGACCAUUCUUGAUUUGAG
rnacentral:lncRNA from 1 species